GCAGUCGAACGAUGAUGCCAGCUUGCUGGUGGAUUAGUGGCGAACGGGUGAGUAACACGUGAGUAACCUGCCCUUAACUCUGGGAUAAGCCUGGGAAACUGGGUCUAAUACCGGAUAUGACCUUCCAUCGCAUGGUGGUUGGUGGAAAGCUUUUUGUGGUUUUGGAUGGACUCGCGGCCUAUCAGCUUGUUGGUGAGGUAAUGGCUUACCAAGGCGACGACGGGUAGCCGGCCUGAGAGGGUGACCGGCCACACUGGGACUGAGACACGGCCCAGACUCCUACGGGAGGCAGCAGUGGGGAAUAUUGCACAAUGGGCGCAAGCCUGAUGCAGCGACGCCGCGUGAGGGAUGACGGCCUUCGGGUUGUAAACCUCUUUCAGUAGGGAAGAAGCGAAAGUGACGGUACCUGCAGAAGAAGCGCCGGCUAACUACGUGCCAGCAGCCGCGGUAAUACGUAGGGCGCAAGCGUUAUCCGGAAUUAUUGGGCGUAAAGAGCUCGUAGGCGGUUUGUCGCGUCUGCCGUGAAAGUCCGGGGCUCAACUCCGGAUCUGCGGUGGGUACGGGCAGACUAGAGUGAUGUAGGGGAGACUGGAAUUCCUGGUGUAGCGGUGAAAUGCGCAGAUAUCAGGAGGAACACCGAUGGCGAAGGCAGGUCUCUGGGCAUUAACUGACGCUGAGGAGCGAAAGCAUGGGGAGCGAACAGGAUUAGAUACCCUGGUAGUCCAUGCCGUAAAACGUUGGGCACUAGGUGUGGGGGACAUUCCACGUUUUCCGCGCCGUAGCUAACGCAUU
rnacentral:rRNA from 1 species